rnacentral:rRNA from 1 species
UGUGCCUACGGGAGGCAGCAGUCGGGAAUAUUGCGCAAUGGAGGAAACUCUGACGCAGUGACGCCGCGUAUAGGAAGAAGGUUUUCGGAUUGUAAACUAUUGUCGUGAGGGAAGAAAUUGACAGUACCUCAGGAGGAAGCUCCGGCUAACUAUGUGCCAGCAGCCGCGGUAAUACAUAGGGAGCAAGCGUUAUCCGGAUUUACUGGGUGUAAAGGGAGCGUAGACGGUUCUGCAAGUCUGAAGUGAAAGCCCGUGGCUUAACCGCGGAACGGCUUUGGAAACUGUGGAACUGGAGUGCUGGAGAG